UGUAUCUGAAGCCUGACGAGGAUGAGAACCUCCGGGGGCAAGAGGUUCGACCCGAGCGAAGCGAGAGAACGUUGCGUCAGCAACGGCCCGCAGGGCGAG
rnacentral:sRNA from 2 species